UACGGAGGAUGCGAGCGUUAUCCGGAUUUAUUGGGUUUAAAGGGAGCGCAGACGGGUCGUUAAGUCAGCUGUGAAAGUUUGGGGCUCAACCUUAAAAUUGCAGUUGAUACUGGCGUCCUUGAGUGCGGUUGAGGUGUGCGGAAUUCGUGGUGUAGCGGUGAAAUGCUUAGAUAUCACGAAGAACUCCGAUUGUGAAGGCAGCACACUAAGCCGUAACUGACGUUCAUGCUCGAAAGUGUGGGUAUCAAACAGG
rnacentral:rRNA from 1 species